AGAGUUUGAUCCUGGCUCAGAACGAACGCUGGCGGCAUGCCUAACACAUGCAAGUCGAACGAGACCUUCGGGUCUAGUGGCGCACGGGUGCGUAACGCGUGGGAAUCUGCCCUUGGGUUCGGAAUAACUUCUGGAAACGGAAGCUAAUACCGGAUGAUGACGUAAGUCCAAAGAUUUAUCGCCUGAGGAUGAGCCCGCGUGAGAUUAGGUAGUUGGUGGGGUAAAGGCCUACCAAGCCGACGAUCUCUAGCUGGUCUGAGAGGAUGAUCAGCCACACUGGGACUGAGACACGGCCCAGACUCCUACGGGAGGCAGCAGUGGGGAAUAUUGGACAAUGGGCGCAAGCCUGAUCCAGCAAUGCCGCGUGAGUGAUGAAGGCCUUAGGGUUGUAAAGCUCUUUUACCCGGGAUGAUAAUGACAGUACCGGGAGAAUAAGCCCCGGCUAACUCCGUGCCAGCAGCCGCGGUA
rnacentral:rRNA from 1 species